GCAUUGCGAUGGUCCCUGCGGAUGCUA
rnacentral:ncRNA from 2 species